GAUGAACGCUAGCGGCAGGCCUAACACAUGCAAGUCGAGGGAGAGGUUAUCUUCGGGUAACCAAAACCGGCGCACGGGUGCGUAACGCGUAUACAAUCUGCCUUUCACAUAGGGAUAGCCCGAAGAAAUUUGGAUUAAUACCUAAUGGUAUAUAAGAGCGGCAUCGUUUUUAUAUUAAAGCUACGGUGGUGAAAGAUGAGUAUGCGUUCUAUUAGCUAGUUGGAGAGGUAACGGCUCCCCAAGGCGACGAUAGAUGGGGGUUCUGAGAGGGAUGUCCCCCACACUGGUACUGAGAUACGGACCAGACUCCUACGGGAGGCAGCAGUGAGGAAUAUUGGACAAUGGUCGGAAGACUGAUCCAGCCAUGCCGCGUGCAGGAUGAAGGUCCUAUGGAUUGUAAACUGCUUUUGUAAGGGAAGAAUAAGGAGUACGUGUACUUUGAUGACGGUACCUUACGAAUAAGCAUCGGCUAACUCCGUGCCAGCAGCCGCGGUAAUACGGAGGAUGCGAGCGUUAUCCGGAAUCAUUGGGUUUAAAGGGUCCGUAGGCGGGCUGAUAAGUCAGAGGUGAAAGCGCUUAGCUCAACUAAGCAACUGCCUUUGAAACUGUCAGUCUUGAAUGAUUGUGAAGUAGUUGGAAUGUGUAGUGUAGCGGUGAAAUGCUUAGAUAUUACACAGAACACCGAUAGCGAAGGCAUAUUACUAACAAUUUAUUGACGCUGAUGGACGAAAGCGUGGGGAGCGAACAGG
rnacentral:rRNA from 1 species